AACCUGCGGAGGGAUCAUUACACAAAUAUGAAGGCGGGCUGGAACCUCUCGGGGUUACAGCCUUGCUGAAUUAUUCACCCUUGUCUUUUGCGUACUUCUUGUUUCCUUGGUGGGUUCGCCCACCACUAGGACAAACAUAAACCUUUUGUAAUUGCAAUCAGCGUCAGUAACAAAUUAAUAAUUACAACUUUCAACAACGGAUCUCUUGGUUCUGGCAUCGAUGAAGAACGCAGCGAAAUGCGAUAAGUAGUGUGAAUUGCAGAAUUCAGUGAAUCAUCGAAUCUUUGAACGCACAUUGCGCCCUUUGGUAUUCCAAAGGGCAUGCCUGUUCGAGCGUCAUUUGUACCCUCAAGCUUUGCUUGGUGUUGGGCGUCUUGUCUCUAGCUUUGCUGGAGACUCGCCUUAAAGUAAUUGGCAGCCGGCCUACUGGUUUCGGAGCGCAGCACAAGUCGCACUCUCUAUCAGCAAAGGUCUAGCAUCCAUUAAGCC
rnacentral:rRNA from 1 species